CAUGUUGUAUUCAUACAGUCAUUCAAGUACUUGCUUCGUUCGCUAACAAGGACUCACUUGAAGUAAAAACAUUUUCCGUUGACAAAGUUUAAGAUGUGUCCUGGACCUUGGACAGUUAAUAUGAGUAGAGAAAAAGUGAAAUCAUCACCUGUUCGUCAAACAACUAGAAGUGCAUUCAUGAUGGAUUCAAAUAAUAACGAGUCGGAAACGUUUUUAAGUGAUAUUACUGACCUUCUCUAUAUAUUGAAGGCGACAGGGCUCUUGCCCUUCUAUCGAACUAUAUCCAACUAUGAACUGGGACCUCCAUCUGUAUUAUCACGUAUCUACACUAUUACUGCUCAUAUUCUGAUUCAUUCAAUGACGAUUUACAAUGUGUACAACCUAUUUACGGAUGGUUCCACACAACUAUUUUAUUCGUAUCGUGAAACGGACAACAUAAACUAUUGGAUUGAAAUUCUUUUGUGCAUUGUUACGUAUACUACGACUGUAUUUUUAUGUUUCAGAAACGGAAAAUCAUAUUUGAACAUUUUAAAUGACACUCUCAAAGUGGAUGAGGAAAUAAGUCGAAAAUUUUCGAUUAAUAUGGUUAAUAAUUGCGGAUUUGCCAUCAAGUACAUUAUAAUAAUAGUGAUUUUCCAAGUAUACAUAAUAAUUUUAAAAAUAUUGUCAAUCAAGGAACCAUUAAAUGUGGCCUCAUACAUUCUCAUUUCAUUUUAUUCAUUUCAAAAUGGUUUGUCGUCAAUAUUCAUCGUGUACGCUUCGGUUCUCUUGCGUAUUAUAACAGUACGUUUCGAAUUUUUAAACAAAAUAAUAACUGGUUACACGUACCGUGAGCAAAAGGCAAAAGUAAGACAACGAAUUACACGUGUAAAUAAUGGCGACAUUUUCUCACAACCACGAUCCAUGGAAAACUUUCCAGAUGAGUCACUAUUUGCUUUUCGUAUGUACAAUAAAUUAUUGCGUCUCUACAAGGCUGUCAAUGAAUGUUGCAGUCUAACACUGGUCGUCUAUAUGGGUUACGCAUUUUAUUCGAUUACCACAACUACAUAUAAUUUAUUUGUUCAGAUUACAACACAAAUGGACAGUGCAAUGGAAAUGUCUGUGAAUGUGCUGCAAAUCUGUUUUGUAUUACUGUUCACUAAUACUAUUAUGUUGGCCGUGUUAUCACGAUGCGCUGGACAAGCUACAGAUCAGGCAAAUGAAACAUCGGAGAUACUAGCCCGAGUGUAUGGUAAAAGCAAGGAGUAUCAAAAUAUCGUUGAUAAAUUUUUAACAAAAAGCAUUAAACAAGAAGUACAAUUCACUGCUUAUGGUUUUUUUGUUAUCGACAAUUCGACACUUUUUAAGACGUUGGAUGGCAUUAAAACUUCAAGUGGACAAUGGGGUAAUCGAAAUGAAAUUUUGAUUCCGUUGGAGAUGUUUUCCAUUUGGAAUGUGUUACUAAUUAUGUGUUGAAAAGGAUUUCAAUUUGGCAAAUUUAAAGUAUGGGUCAAGACAUUACAAACAUGAUCUUUUUAUAUAAAUACAUCGUGCAAAAACACCUUUAUUAAUAUAACAAAAUUUGCUGGUAGUAGUAAAACAUGGAGUAAUAAUACCUUUUAAAUAUAGACGUAAACGUAAAACAUGGAUAAUACAGUUGUUAUAUAUAGGAUAAAUAAAAAAAUAUUUUGAACACAUGAA